rnacentral:rRNA from 1 species
GAUGAACGCUGGCGGCGUGCCUAAUACAUGCAAGUCGAGCGAACAGACGAGGAGCUUGCGCCGCUGACGUUAGCGGCGGACGGGUGAGUAACACGUGGAUAACCUACCUAUAAGACGGGGAUAACUUCGGGAAACCGGAGCUAAUACCGGAGAAGAUAUUGAACCGCAUGGUUGAAUAGUGAAAGACGGUGUUGGUGUCAGGUAUAGAUGGAUCCGCGCCGCAUUAGCUAGUUGGUAAGGUAACGGCUUACCAAGGCAACGAUGCGUAGCCGACCGGAGAGGUGGAUCGGCCACCUUGGAACUGAGACACGGUCCAGACUCCUACGGGAGGCAGCAGUAGGGAACCUUCCGCAAUGGGCGAAAGCCUGACGGAGCAACGCCGCGUGAGUGAUGAAGGUCUUCGGAUCGUAAAACUCUGUUAUGAGGGAAGAACAAAUGUGUAAGUAACUAUGCACGUCUUGACGGUACCUAAUCAGAAAGCCACGGCUAACUACGUG